rnacentral:rRNA from 1 species
UGGUGGAGCCGCUGGCCCAAGCGGUUAGUAGGUGAGUGAUGGGGUGACGCAGGAAGGUAGUCCAUCCCGGGCGGUGGUUGUCCCGGGGUAAGGGUGUAGGACGAGUGGUAGGCAAAUCCGCCAUUCAUUAAGUCUGAGACCUGAUGCCGAGCCGAUUGUGGUGAAGUGGAUGAUCCUAUGCUGUCGAGAAAAGCCUCUAGCGAGUUUCAUGGCGGCCCGUACCCUAAACCGACUCAGGUGGUCAGGUAGAGAAUACCGAGGCGUUCGGGUGAACUAUGGUUAAGGAACUCGGCAAAAUGCCCCCGUAACUUCGGGAGAAGGGGGGCCAUCACCGGUGAGAGGAUUUACUCCUUGAGCUGGGGGUGGCCGCAGAGACCAGCGAGAAGCGACUGUUUACUAAAAACACAGGUCCGUGCGAAGCCGUAAGGCGAUGUAUACGGACUGACGCCUGCCCGGUGCUGGAACGUUAAGGGGACCGGUUAGUCACUCUUCGGGGUGGCGAAGCUGAGAACUUAAGCGCCAGUAAACGGCGGUGGUAACUAUAACCAUCCUAAGGUAGCGAAAUUCCUUGUCGGGUAAGUUCCGACCUGCACGAAUGGCGUAACGACUUCUCGACUGUCUCAACCAUAGGCCCGGUGAAAUUGCACUACGAGUAAAGAUGCUCGUUUCGCGCAGCAGGACGGAAAGACCCCGGGACCUUUACUACAGUUUGAUAUUGGUGUUCGGUUCGGCUUGUGUAGGAUAGCUGGGAGACUGUGAACUCUGGACGCCAGUUCAGGGGGAGUCGUCGUUGAAAUACCAGUCUGGUCGUGCUGGAUGUCUAACCUGGGUCCGUGAUCCGGAUCAGGGACAGUGUCUGAUGGGCAGUUUAACUGGGGCGGUUGCCUCCUAAAGAGUAACGGAGGCGCCCAAAGGUUCCCUCAGCCUGGUUGGCAAUCAGGUGUUGAGUGUAAGUGCACAAGGGAGCUUGACUGUGAGACCGACGGGUCGAGCAGGGACGAAAGUCGGGACUAGUGAUCCGGCGGUGGCUUGUGGAAGCGCCGUCGCUCAACGGAUAAAAGGUACCCCGGGGAUAACAGGCUGAUCUUCCCCAAGAGUCCAUAUCGACGGGAUGGUUUGGCACCUCGAUGUCGGCUCGUCGCAUCCUGGGGCUGGAGUCGGUCCCAAGGGUUGGGCUGUUCGCCCAUUAAAGCGGUACGCGAGCUGGGUUUAGAACGUCGUGAGACAGUUCGGUCCCUAUCCGCUGCGCGCGCAGGAACAUUGAGAAGGGCUGUCCCUAUUACGAGAGGACCGGGACGGACGAACCUCUGGUGUGCCAGUUGUUCUGCCAAGGGCAUGGCUGGUUGGCUACGUUCGGGAGGGAUAACCGCUGAAAGCAUCUAAGCGGGAAGCCUGCUUCGAGAUGAGUGUUCCCACCCCCUUGAGGGGUUAAGGCUCCCAGUAGACGACUGGGUUGAUAGGCCGGAUCUGGAAGGCGGGUAACCGCUGGAGGUGACCGGUACUAAUAGGCCGAGGGCUUGUCCUG